UCUGGGCCUUCACGCCGGCACCGAGAUUUUCUCGGGAAGGGCCUCAGAUCCCCGGACCAGUCUGGGACACAGGCAAGAUCCCCCUGCAUUUUGGGAGCAAAUUGGGCCCCCUGGUGGGACAGUGCUGUUGGUGCCCCCCGGGCUGGGGCACCCCAAGGACUCCAGCGCGCACCGAAAGGAUUAUUCGGGGAGAUCCUCGGGGUGCCCGGCCCUGGGGAGCUCCAAGCAAGGUCCCUGCAAUGGAUUCAGGCAUUGCUGAGAGUAUCCCAGGUGUACCUGUUCAUGCUAGACAUGGAGCUCUCUAAUGGGCUGUAAUUGGGUGAUAAAAGUGGUGCUCCAAGUGCCAAAGAAGUGUGGGAUUGGGAUUAAGAACUGAGCAGUGAUGGUACAAUUGGCUGUUUUCUCUUGAAUGUAAUGGUAAGAGCUGCAGGAGUGCAAGGUGUGUGUUCCAGUCCCCACCAUUUGGUUUGCACGUGUCCUGCUCAGACACAGGUCCAACUUCCUCAGUCCUUAACACAGUAGAGGGAGAAUUAAGGACUGGCACUGUUAAGGUGAUUGGUGUGACAGGGGUUAAACUGGGAAAACAUUGGGGAAUUCCUCAGUUUGUCUAUUAGCCCAACUUGCCCAAACCUGUGCUAGGAAGAGAUAGAGUGGAAAAGUUGAGGCAGAAAUGAAAUGGAAAAAUGGAGAUAUUGACACUGUAAUUGCUGAAACUAAAUGUGUCCAAGCAGCAGCUCUUGUUUUGCAGGGAAUAACUCCUGUCAGCAGCAAGGUCCCGACUGAAGUGGCAGCUGCAGUUGUUCCUGUGGUGUGGGCCAGUGGACUUGCAAGAGAGUGGAAGAGGGCAGAACCUGUAGGUAUUACCCCUAAUGUGGGAUCUCUCCUGAAUGUGAAUGCAAGAACCUGCCAGGAAAUCCAAUGGCCAAGAUGACUGAUGAGUGCAGGACCUGAGAGAACCACCUUGAAUGACAACCUCGAGCAGUUUCCAGUAUUGGAUUUAAAAGAUGGCCUUUGCUGCAUCUCCUUGAGCAAGGAAAGCCAAGAAACCUUUGCCUUUGAAGGAGAAAAUCUGGAAAGUGCGAAGAAAAGAAGCCCCCUGACUCCUCCCUGAGCCCCAGACAGCCCAUGAACUGCCUUCCUGGGAAUGGUAGGACGGGAUGGACUGUGGAUUGCUUGCUAUGGAUGUGUGGAACUCCAGGAACUCCUGGUGCCGCCUGGGCCGAUGGAUUGGACGCCCCAGCCCCUCCGUUCCUGCCCAGCCACUGGGGCCGUGUCGAGUGGUGGCACUGCCAGCCCUGCAGGUGAAGUGGGAAGGGCCUUUGCAGGUCUUGUGGGUCACAUUU